rnacentral:rRNA from 1 species
AUGACGCUGACCCGCCGGUUCCACGCGCUCAAGAUGUGGCUCGUGCUCCGCUGCUAUGGCAUCCAAGGCCUCCGUGACCACAUCUGCUCUCACAUGAGCAUGGCCAAGGCGUUCGAGAACAUGGUGAAAGCCGACGAAAGGUUUGAGGUGGUGACAGAAAGGACGUUUGCACUGGUGUGCUUCCGACUUCGGUCACAGGAGAUGUUCGGCGGCGAGAAGACGGUGAACAAGCUCAACCAAGACCUCCUUGAGGAGGUGAACGCGCUCACCUCGGGCCCCUACAUGAGCUCUGCAAACGUAGGUGGCAUGGUCUAA